UAGGAAUAUGCCUUAAAGUGGGGGACAACUUGGGGAAACUCAAGCUAAUACCGCAUAACCUCUUAGGAGGGAAGCUGGGGACCAUUUGGCCUGGCGCUUUAAGAUUAGCCUGCGUCCGAUUAGCUAGUUGGUAGGGUAAGGGCCUACCAAGGCGACGAUCGGUAGCUGGUCUGAGAGGAUGACCAGCCACACUGGGACUGAGACACGGCCCAGACUCCUACGGAAGGCAG
rnacentral:rRNA from 1 species